rnacentral:rRNA from 1 species
UUAAGUUAUUAAGGGCGCACGGUGGAUGCCUUGGCACUAGAAGCCGAUGAAGGACGUUACUAACGACGAUAUGCUUUGGGGAGCUGUAAGUAAGCUUUGAUCCAGAGAUUUCCGAAUGGGGAAACCCAGCAUGAGUAUGUCAUGUUAUCGAUAUGUGAAUACAUAGCAUAUCAGAAGGCACACCCGGAGAACUGAAACAUCUUAGUACCCGGAGGAAGAGAAAGAAAAUUCGAUUCCCUUAGUAGCGGCGAGCGAAACGGGAGAGCCCAAAACCAACAAGCUUGCUUGUUGGGGUUGUAGGACACUCUAUACGGAGUUACAAAGGACGACAUUAGACGAAUCAUCUGGAAAGAUGAAUCAAAGAAGGUAAUAAUCCUGUAGUCGAAAAUGUUGUCUCUCUUGAGUGGAUCCUGAGUACGACGGAGCACGUGAAAUUCCGUCGGAAUCUGGGAGGACCAUCUCCUAAGGCUAAAUACUCUCUAGUGACCGAUAGUGAACCAGUACCGUGAGGGAAAGGUGAAAAGCACCCCGGAAGGGGAGUGAAAUAGAACCUGAAACCGUGUGCUUGCAAGUAGUCAGAGCCCGUUAAUGGGUGAUGGCGUGCCUUUUGUAGAAUGAACCGGCGAGUUACGAUUUGAUGCAAGGUUAAGCAGUAAAUGUGGAGCCGUAGCGAAAGCGAGUCUGAAUAGGGCGUUUAGUAUUUGGUCGUAGACCCGAAACCAGGUGAUCUACCCUUGGUCAGGUUGAAGUUCAGGUAACACUGAAUGGAGGACCGAACCGACUUACGUUGAAAAGUGAGCGGAUGAACUGAGGGUAGCGGAGAAAUUCCAAUCGAACCUGGAGAUAGCUGGUUCUCUCCGAAAUAGCUUUAGGGCUAGCCUCAAGUGAUGAUUAUUGGAGGUAGAGCACUGUUUGGACGAGGGGCCCCUCUCGGGUUACCGAAUUCAGACAAACUCCGAAUGCCAAUUAAUUUAACUUGGGAGUCAGAACAUGGGUGAUAAGGUCCAUGUUCGAAAGGGAAACAGCCCAGACCACCAGCUAAGGUCCCAAAAUAUAUGUUAAGUGGAAAAGGAUGUGGCGUUGCCCAGACAACUAGGAUGUUGGCUUAGAAGCAGCCAUCAUUUAAAGAGUGCGUAAUAGCUCACUAGUCGAGUGACACUGCGCCGAAAAUGUACCGGGGCUAAACAUAUUACCGAAGCUGUGGAUUGUCCUUUGGACAAUGGUAGGAGAGCGUUCUAAGGGCGUUGAAGCAUGAUCGUAAGGACAUGUGGAGCGCUUAGAAGUGAGAAUGCCGGUGUGAGUAGCGAAAGACGGGUGAGAAUCCCGUCCACCGAUUGACUAAGGUUUCCAGAGGAAGGCUCGUCCGCUCUGGGUUAGUCGGGUCCUAAGCUGAGGCCGACAGGCGUAGGCGAUGGAUAACAGGUUGAUAUUCCUGUACCACCUAUAAUCGUUUUAAUCGAUGGGGGGACGCAGUAGGAUAGGCGAAGCGUGCGAUUGGAUUGCACGUCUAAGCAGUAAGGCUGAGUAUUAGGCAAAUCCGGUACUCAUUAAGGCUGAGCUGUGAUGGGGAGAAGACAUUGUGUCUUCGAGUCGUUGAUUUCACACUGCCGAGAAAAGCCUCUAGAUAGAAAAUAGGUGCCCGUACCGCAAACCGACACAGGUAGUCAAGAUGAGAAUUCUAAGGUGAGCGAGCGAACUCUCGUUAAGGAACUCGGCAAAAUGACCCCGUAACUUCGGGAGAAGGGGUGCUCUUUAGGGUUAACGCCCAGAAGAGCCGCAGUGAAUAGGCCCAAGCGACUGUUUAUCAAAAACACAGGUCUCUGCUAAACCGUAAGGUGAUGUAUAGGGGCUGACGCCUGCCCGGUGCUGGAAGGUUAAGAGGAGUGGUUAGCUUCUGCGAAGCUACGAAUCGAAGCCCCAGUAAACGGCGGCCGUAACUAUAACGGUCCUAAGGUAGCGAAAUUCCUUGUCGGGUAAGUUCCGACCCGCACGAAAGGCGUAACGAUUUGGGCACUGUCUCAACGAGAGACUCGGUGAAAUCAUAGUACCUGUGAAGAUGCAGGUUACCCGCGACAGGACGGAAAGACCCCGUGGAGCUUUACUGUAGCCUGAUAUUGAAAUUCGGCACAGCUUGUACAGGAUAGGUAGGAGCCUUUGAAACGUGAGCGCUAGCUUACGUGGAGGCGCUGGUGGGAUACUACCCUAGCUGUGUUGGCUUUCUAACCCGCACCACUUAUCGUGGUGGGAGACAGUGUCAGGCUGGCAGUUUGACUGGGGCGGUCGCCUCCUAAAAGGUAACGGAGGCGCUCAAAGGUUCCCUCAGAAUGGUUGGAAAUCAUUCAUAGAGUGUAAAGGCAUAAGGGAGCUUGACUGCGAGACCUACAAGUCGAGCAGGGUCGAAAGACGGACUUAGUGAUCCGGUGGUUCCGCAUGGAAGGGCCAUCGCUCAACGGAUAAAAGCUACCCCGGGGAUAACAGGCUUAUCUCCCCCAAGAGUUCACAUCGACGGGGAGGUUUGGCACCUCGAUGUCGGCUCAUCGCAUCCUGGGGCUGUAGUCGGUCCCAAGGGUUGGGCUGUUCGCCCAUUAAAGCGGUACGCGAGCUGGGUUCAGAACGUCGUGAGACAGUUCGGUCCCUAUCCGUCGUGGGCGUAGGAAAUUUGAGAGGAGCUGUCCUUAGUACGAGAGGACCGGGAUGGACAUACCUCUGGUGUACCAGUUGUCGUGCCAACGGCAUAGCUGGGUAGCUAUGUGUGGACGGGAUAAGUGCUGAAAGCAUCUAAGCAUGAAGCCCCCCUCAAGAUGAGAUUUCCCAACUUCGGUUAUAAGAUCCCUCAAAGAUGAUGAGGUUAAUAGGUUCGAGGUGGAAGCAUGGUGACAUGUGGAGCUGACGAAUACUAAUCGAUCGAAGACUUAAUCAA